rnacentral:rRNA from 1 species
GGGGAAUAUUGGACAAUGGGCGCAAGCCUGAUCCAGCCAUGCCGCGUGUGUGAAGAAGGCCUUCGGGUUGUAAAGCACUUUAAGCGAGGAGGAAGGUUUAUAGGUUAAUACCCUAUAGAAUUGACGUUACUCGCAGAAUAAGCACCGGCUAACUCUGUGCCAGCAGCCGCGGUAAUACAGAGGGUGCAAGCGUUAAUCGGAAUUACUGGGCGUAAAGCGCGCGUAGGCGGUUUGUUAAGUCGGAUGUGAAAUCCCUGGGCUCAACCUAGGCACUGCAUCCGAUACUGGCUAACUAGAGUGUGGGAGAGGAAGGUAGAAUUCCAGGUGUAGCGGUGAAAUGCGUAGAGAUCUGGAGGAAUACCGAUGGCGAAGGCAGCCUUCUGGCCUAACACUGACGCUGAGGUGCGAAAGCAUGGGGAGCAAAC